rnacentral:rRNA from 1 species
AUACGGAGGAAGCAAGCGUUAUUCGGAAUCACUGGGCGUAAAGGACGCGUAGGCGGGUUUGUAAGUCAGGUGUGAAAUCCUACAGCUCAACUGUAGAACUGCACUUGAAACUACAGACCUAGAGUAUGGAAGGGGCAGAUGGAAUUAGUGGUGUAGGGGUAAAAUCCGUAGAUAUCACUAGGAAUACCAAAAGCGAAGGCGAUCUGCUGGGACAUUACUGACGCUGAGGCGCGAAAGCGUGGGGAGCGAACAGGAUUAGAAACCCCAGUAGUCC